rnacentral:rRNA from 1 species
UACGUAGGGGGCGAGCGUUAUCCGGAAUUAUUGGGCGUAAAGAGUGCGUAGGUGGCUACCUAAGCGCAGGGUCUAAGACAAAGGCUUAACCAUUGUCCGCCCUGCGAACUGGGCUGCUUGAGUGCAGGAGAGGAAAGCGGAAUUCCUAGUGUAGCGGUGAAAUGCGUAGAUAUUAGGAGGAACACCAGUGGCGAAGGCGGCUUUCUGGACUGUUACUGACACUGAGGCACGAAAGCGUGGGGAGCAAACAGG